rnacentral:lncRNA from 1 species
GCUUACACAGAGUGCUCUCUGAGCAGGCUGACGGUUACCCGUGAGAGACGGGGAUACAGGCGAAGCAACGGAUGCGUUUUUUCCCGAGUUGUGCGUCGCAGCAAGCUUUUCCUCUACCGUUCGAGAGGCUGGGAAAUGCACAAGAGACGUCAAUGGGAAACCCGCACGAAGGAACCGCGAAUUUCAGUCUCGCCGGAACGUCGGGACCAAGGCUGCUCCAGCUGUCGUCUCAGAGAACAGAGGUAUUCGACUUGUCCGUAUAAUUUGGGGCUUCUUGUACUUUUCUCAUUCAAGACGAUACGCGAAAAGGGAAACGAUGAAGCGAAAAGGACAGCUCUCUACAUAUCCUGCGGUGUCUGCGGCAGGACGAACAGAAGAGUCCUCCGACGAUGGGCGCUCUGUUUUGACAGUGGAGUAAAUGGUCUGUGAGAGAAGGCGGCACGCCGCGAAGUCAGCAAAUGCAGAAACACAAGGACUGCCUGCGAACCAGGGGCUUGGUGCUCCGAAUCCUUUCCUGGCCCUCAAGGUGUUCGACGGCCGACAAGGUUUAACAAGGGGGAAACACGUGUAGCAUUUCUGCGGUACACGGUAUAGCCUUUAAACCUGGCUUCUUCCGGCAUGUAGCAUUUCGCUCAGCGCGGUUCUUGCAGUAGCAAGUCAUCAAUCCAAGACGGUCCUUUCCUGGUGAAAGGCCGCUCCGAUCCGUGUCGAAACCCUCCGCACACGGCUGCAGUGCAGCCUCUGUGCCUGUGCGUGCGAAGGAUACAAACAGGGGAAGACCGCCCGAUAGCACAACGAGGCUGAACUCUCCAUAUGACUGACGAGACGGAUAAGACUAAAACAAUG